rnacentral:rRNA from 1 species
CGCCUAACACAUGCAAGUCGAACGCAGUAGCAAUACUGAGUGGCGAACGGGUGAGUAUAAUGUGGGUAUCUACCUUUUGGUUUGGAAUAACACGAGGAAACUUGUGCUAAUACCGAAUAAGCCCUUACGGGGAAAGUUUUAAUGCCAUUAGAUGAGCCCAUACUUGAUUAGCUAGUUGGUAGGGUAAAAGCCUACCAAGGCUACGAUCAAUAGCUGAUCUGAGAGGAUGAUCAGCCACAUUGGGACUGAGACACGGCCCAGACUCCUACGGGAGGCAGCAGUGGGGAAUCUUGCACAAUGGGGGAAACCCUGAUGCAGCGAUGCCGCGUGAGUGAAGAAGGCCUUUGGGUUGUAAAGCUCUUUCGUCGGGGAAGAAAAUGACUGUACCCGAAUAAGAAGGUCCGGCUAACUUCGUGCCAGCAGCCGCGGUAAUACGAAGGGACCUAGCGUAGUUCGGAAUUACUGGGCUUAAAGAGCUCGUAGGUGGUUGAAAAAGUUAAUGGUGAAAUCCCAAGGCUUAACCUUGGAACUGCCAUUAAAACUUUUUAGCUAGAGUGUGAUAGAGGAAAGUGGAAUUUCUAGUGUAGAGGUGAAAUUCGUAGAUAUUAGAAAGAACACCAAUUGCGAAGGCAACUUUCUGGAUCACUACUGACACUGAGGAGCGAAAGCAUGGGUAGCGAAGAGGAUUAGAUACCCUCGUAGUCCAUGCUGUAAACGAUGUGUGCUAGACGUUGGAAAUUUAGUUUUCAGUGUCGCAGCAAAAGCGUUAAGCACACCGCCUGGGGAGUACG